rnacentral:lncRNA from 1 species
GCCAGGCCGUGUGCCUCACAUGGUCGUGUGACAGCCCAUGUCGCAGGCCAUGUGAACCUAAAAUUUGCCUGAAAUCAAGUCAUUUCACAAUCAAUUCACACUUAACCAAUCUAACCAUUUAAGCAUACAUCUAAAGGACUUAAACAUCAUUCACAACCACAUAAACAUGCCAUUGUAGACACCCUAAAUCAACUAACCAAUGUGUCAUUCAUUGACACCACAGUUAUGUCAACACA